UACAUAGGGGGCGAGCGUUAUCCGGAAUUAUUGGGUGUAAAGGGUGCGUAGACGGGAUUUUAAGUUAGUUGUGAAAGCCCCAGGCUUAACUUGGGAACUGCAACUAAAACUGAAAUUCUUGAGUACUGGAGAGGAAAGUGGAAUUCCUAGUGUAGCGGUGAAAUGCGUAGAUAUUAGGAGGAACACCAGUGGCGAAGGCGACUUUCUGGACAGAAACUGACGUUGAGGCACGAAAGUGUGGGGAGCAAACAGG
rnacentral:rRNA from 1 species